rfam:Oryza glaberrima chromosome 5 Oglab05_0135_12, whole genome shotgun sequence.
CCACUGGACAAUGAUGAUAUGGUCGCCUACAUAGUGAAUGGGUUAGAUGAAGAUUACAAUUCAGUUGUUUCUGCUCUUGUUACUAGGGUAGAACCAAUUACUGUUUCUGAGUUGUAUGCCCAGCUUUUAAACUUUGAAA